rnacentral:lncRNA from 1 species
CCAGCCGUCGCCGGUCAGCCUCUCUAUUCAUUUUCUUUUCUCUCUCCCUCUCUCCCUCCUUCCCUCCUUCCCUCCCUCCCUCUCUUCCUCCUCUCUUCCCCUCUCCUUCUCUCCUCUCCCUCACUCCGCCUCCUAUCCCUUCCCCUUCUCUCUUCCCUAUGGUACAGGUCUACUCACGCAGCCUCUUUGAUCAAGCUAC